UACACUCCUGCGGGAGGCAGCAGUGGGGAAUAUUGCACAAUGGGCGCAAGCCUGAUGCAGCCAUGCCGCGUGUAUGAAGAAGGCCUUCGGGUUGUAAAGUACUUUCAGCGGGGAGGAAGGCGAUAAGGUUAAUAACCUUGUCGAUUGACGUUACCCGCAGAAGAAGCACCGGCUAACUCCGUGCCAGCAGCCGCGGUAAUACGGAGGGUGCAAGCGUUAAGCGGAAUUACUGGGCGUAAAGCGCACGCAGGCGGUCUGUCAAGUCGGAUGUGAAAUCCCCGGGCUCAACCUGGGAACUGCAUUCGAAACUGGCAGGCUAGAGUCUUGUAGAGGGGGGUAGAAUUCCAGGUGUAGCGGUGAAAUGCGUAGAGAUCUGGAGGAAUACCGGUGGCGAAGGCGGCCCCCUGGACAAAGACUGACGCUCAGGUGCGAAAGCGUGGGGAGCAAACAGGAUUAGAUACCCGAGUAGUCCCAUG
rnacentral:rRNA from 1 species